CGCUCUUGACCCCUAUAAGAGUCCAGCCUGCCCAGUGAUACUAUUAAACGGCCGCGGUACCCUGACCGUGCGAAGGUAGCAUAAUAACUUGUUCUUUAAAUGGGGACUAGCAUGAACGGCAUCACGAGGGUCUCACUGUCUCCUUUUUCUAAUCAGUGAAACUGAUCUUCCCGUGAAGAAGCGGGGAUUAAACUAUAAGACGAGAAGACCCCAUGGAGCUUUAAACCCAAUAGGCACCUCUGACUAAUCUAACCCACCAUACUUCUUAAGUUCUGCCUAUUGGUUUUAGGUUGGGGUGACCACGGAGUACAACAAAUCCUCCAUGACGUACGGGACUUCCCUCUUAUCCUUGAACCACACUUCUAAGAAUCAACAAAUUGACGUUCAAUGAUCCAAUAUAUUGAUCAACGGACCAAGUUACCCUGGGGAUAACAGCGCAAUCCAUUUUAAGAGCCCCUAUCGCCAAAUGGGUUUACGACCUCGAUGUUGGAUCAGGGUAUCCUAGUGGUGCAGCCGCUACUAAUGGUUUGUUUGUUCAACAAUUAAAACC
rnacentral:rRNA from 1 species